UAAGCCUGUGAAGGUGGCCUGUGAGGGUUGCUGGAGGUAUCAGAAGUGCGAAUGCUGACAUAAGUAACGAUAAAGCGGGUGAAAAGCCCGCUCGCCGGAAGACCAAGGGUUCCUGUCCAACGUUAAUCGGGGCAGGGUGAGUCGACCCCUAAGGCGAGGCCGAAAGGCGUAGUCGAUGGGAAACGGGUUAAUAUUCCCGUACUUGGUGUUACUGCGAAGGGGGGACGGAGAAGGCUAUGUUGGCCGGGCGACGGUU
rnacentral:rRNA from 5 species